rnacentral:rRNA from 1 species
UCGGGAAUUUUGGGCAAUGGGCGAAAGCCUGACCCAGCAACGCCGCGUGAAGGAUGAAAUCCCUCGGGAUGUAAACUUCGCAAGAACGGGAAGAAUAAGUAAGAGUUAAUAUCUCUUACGAUGACGGUACUGUUUGUAAGCUCCGGCUAACUCCGUGCCAGCAGCCGCGGUAAUACGGGGGGAGCAAGCGUUGUUCGGAUUUACUGGGCGUAAAGGGCGCGUAGGCGGCCUCUGCAAGUCGACUGUGAAAUCUCCGGGCUUAACCCGGAAAGGUCAGCCGAUACUGCAGGGCUAGAGUGCAGAAGGGGCAACUGGAAUUCUCGGUGUAGCGGUGAAAUGCGUAGAUAUCGAGAGGAACACCUGCGGCGAAGGCGGGUUGCUGGGCUGACACUGACGCUGAGGCGCGAAAGCUAGGGGAGCGAACGGG